GGAGGGGCCUGUGUGGAAGCAGGGGGCCUCUGCGGCUGUCCCUGCCAGAGGCGCCUGGUCUAGGAAGGCAGGCAGAGCGGGAGCGAGCAGGCUUACAUGUAUGCCAGCACCCCAGCAGGGCCUCCACCCGCCACCCGCCACCGUGCUGGCCCAGGGCCAGGGCCACCGAGAGCCGGCUCCAAAAUCCUGUCUGCUGUCUGCCUCCCGGGACUGCUCCGGCCCCAGCCGUCUCAGGACCACACGACAGCAUCCUGACCAGCCCGUAUUGUUGGGCGCUCCAGUCGCUGCAGUGCUGGAAAGUCUCGUCACCUCUUCAGGGCCACACCACACCUCCAUGGGGCGGCAGUCCUGGGGAGACGGAGCUCCGUGAGCCUGUGAGCCCCAGAGCCCCGACAGCUGACGGCUCGCAUGGCGAGGAUGCUGAGCAGAGGACAGUGCUCCCAGGCCUAGAUGACAUCACGGACCCCAGGGACCCGCCUGUCAGUGGAGGAGGAACAUGCAGGUUGUCCAGCCCCCUGGAGCCUGGCCUGGGUUCCUGCUGCCCUGCUGUCUCUCUAGAACAGUUCAGGGGGGUCCUUUCCAUCCUAACAGCGUUCUGACAUCUGCAGAAUCUGGGAGGCAUCAAGGGCCUGGCCGGCUGCUAACAUAUCAGGUUCCCACAACAGUUUGACUAGGUAUCUAUCAUACUUCCGAUUUCAUGGAUGAGGGAACCAAAGUCCAGAGAGGCUGAGGAACUUCAAGGCUCCAUAGCUACUCACGGAUGGAGAUGAGACUUAAACAGAGCUCAUCAUUAUUGACCAGGACGCUGCACGGUGAGGUUCUGGAGAUCCUGAACAUGUCCGCCUCACCUUUCAUCUACUUAGGCAUCUUUGAACUUCGAUAUCACAGUCCUGACCUGUGACCAGCCGGCUGAGUGUGGGCCCUGGCCUGGGCCAGGGUUUGGAGCUGGGCUCCGCCUCUCACCAGCUGUGGGCUCUCGUGCACAUUACUUAACCUUUCUGUGCCUCCGUUUCCUCCAUCGGCGGUUUGGGGAUGUUUGGGAUUACGUGAGUUAAUACCCGUAAAGUGCUUACAA
rnacentral:lncRNA from 1 species